CCUACGGGAGGCAGCAGUGAGGAAUAUUGGUCAAUGGGCGCAAGCCUGAACCAGCCAUGCCGCGUGCAGGAAGAAUGCCCUACGGGUUGUAAACUGCUUUUAUUUGGGAAUAAACCUUUCUACGUGUAGAAAGCUGAAGGUACCAAUUGAAUAAGCACCGGCUAACUCCGUGCCAGCAGCCGCGGUAAUACGGAGGGUGCAAGCGUUAUCCGGAAUCAUUGGGUUUAAAGGGUCCGCAGGCGGACCUAUAAGUCAGUGGUGAAAGCCUACAGCUUAACUGUAGAACUGCCAUUGAAACUGUAGGUCUUGAAUUCGGUCGAAGUGGGCGGAAUGUGUAGUGUAGCGGUGAAAUGCAUAGAUAUUACACAGAACACCGAUAGCGAAGGCAGCUCACUAGGCCUGGAUUGACGCUCAGGGACGAAAGCGUGGGGAUCAAACAGGAUUAGAUACCCGUGGUACGCCCACGCCGUAAACCUAUGAUUACUCGUUUUACGGUCGAUAUACAGUCGGAGACUAAGCGAAAGUGAUAAGUAAUCCACCGUGGGGAGUACGAUCGCAAGGUUGAAACUCGAAAGGAAGUUAGACGG
rnacentral:rRNA from 1 species